rnacentral:lncRNA from 1 species
GUUACAUCUCUUAAUGACACCCUUUACUACAGGUUACAUCUCUUAAUGACACCCUUUACUACAGGUUACAUCUCUUAAUGGCACCCUUUACCACAGGUUACAUCUCUUAAUGACACCCUUUACUACAGGUUACAUCUCUUAAUGGCACCCUUUACCAGGUGACAUCUCAUAAUGACACCCUUUACUACAGGUUACAUCUCUUAAUGGCACCCUUUACCCAGGUUACAUCUCUUAAUGGCACCCUUUACUACAGGUUACAUCUCUUAAUGACACCCUUUACCCAGGUUACAUCUCUUAAUGACACCCUUUACUACAGGUUACAUCUCUUAAUGACACCCUUUACCAGGUGACAUCUCAUAAUGACACCCUUUACUACAGGUUACAUCUCUUAAUGGCACCCUUUACCACAGGUUACAUCUCUUAAUGGCAUCAUUUACCCCAGGUUACAUCUCUUAAUGACACCCUUUACUACAGGUUACAUCUCUUAAUGGCACCUUUUACC